rnacentral:rRNA from 1 species
UACGUAGGGUGCGAGCGUUAAUCGGAAUUACUGGGCGUAAAGCGUGCGCAGGCGGUUCGUUGUGUCGGCGGUGAAAGCCCCGGGCUUAACCUGGGAAUGGCCGUCGAAACUGGCGAACUGGAGUGUGGCAGAGGGGUGGAAUUCCGCGUGUAGCAGUGAAAAUGCGUAGAGAUGCGGAGGAACACCGAUGGCGAAGGGCAGCCCUGGGCUAACACUGACGCUCAGGCACGAAAGCGUGGGGAGCAAACAAGG